CGGCAAGGUGGUGCGGAUCGCCAAGGUCGCCUCCGACGUGACCCAGCAGCAAUCCACCCUGGAGCGCACCCAGGCCCUGCUGGC
rnacentral:tRNA from 1 species